GGAAUUAACCAUCACUCCUCCAUCUUCCCCAAGAAAAUUAGAUUAUAGAUUUAACAUGACAGUUUGAUUGUUGGCAAGGAUUACCUCAGCUGGUUGUCAAUUUCUUCUUCAUAGGACGAAAUAUUAAAAUGGCCUUUCCUUAUCAUCUGCCAUUGCCAGAAGCCAGGACACAGGAGGGAAGCAAAUUUUUCUCACUGCAGCAAGACCUUCAGCUGUCAAGUUGGGGAACUACAAGGAAUCCUACACAAGCUCACACACAAGGGAUAUUAAAUCUGCAGCUCACUGGGUUGACAAAAAUACUAUCUGAAGACUACCCACCAAGA
rnacentral:lncRNA from 11 species